rnacentral:lncRNA from 1 species
AUAAUCCUCACGAGAGAACUUCUCCACUAACGAUCAUUACGAUGUCAUCUGUGAAACUUGCAUUGGUCCUAAUGCUCGCAUUCACCACGCUCAUGGUGCAGAAUACCUCAAGUCACGAUAUACUGGGAAGCGAAUCUUGCGAUGGUCGGCCGUGCAAUGGAGAAGACGAUGAUCCUUCAUGCGACCCCCCCACCUGCGGAUGUACGCAGACUAGCAAUGGCACCCGUCGGUGCAGCUCUGUAAUUCCUUACGGUCGAUAAAAUCAGGCACACGACGCUUGUGUGUGGGAAAAUUUGAAUACAAUAAAAAUGAAUACUAAUUCCCAGAAAAAAA